rnacentral:rRNA from 1 species
UACGGGGGGAGCAAGCGUUGUUCGGAUUUACUGGGCGUAAAGCGUGCGCAGGCGGUUUCUUAAGUCAGAUGUGAAAGCCCCGGGCUUAACCUGGGAACUGCGUUUGAAACUGGGAGACUUGAGUGUGGCAGAGGGGGGUGGAAUUCCACGUGUAGCAGUGAAAUGCGUAGAUAUGUGGAGGAACACCGAUGGCGAAGGCAGCCCCCUGGGUUAACACUGACGCUCAUGCACGAAAGCGUGGGGAGCAAACAGG